CUCCCAGUUUUUUAUCUCGGUGACUAAAGGGUGUUGCGGGUAGUGGGGGACAGCCAUUUUUGGCUAGCUCCACGUGGCUUGAACUGCUGCAUUCUCACCCAACCCUGAGGUGCCAGUGUGAAUAAAGGAUUGUGUUCCCUCUUCACUUGGAUUUUAUCUCCUCCGUGUCCCACCGUCACAAAGCGACACCUGGUACCUGAACAGGGAUAGACCCGCCCAGACGCAGACUUAGCAUGCAGUUCUUGUUCAGUUUUUAUGAAUUCAUUUGGGACCACAUGGAAUUUUUGAGAAGGUAAGAAAUAUUGAAAAUCAGGAUGACACUGGAAAGACCAAGACAAAGGUAAGGGAAAUGUCUCUGAGCCUGGAUGAUUGCUGAGCAAGGGGUCACAGUAGAAAUACUCCUAAGGAAAAAAUGGGCAUAUGCUAAUUACAUUUUUAACUUUCUCAAGAAAUGCGUACAUAAUGUCCACAUAAAUUACAAACUGUAAUAUGUUCAUAAGGAAUAGUUAAGGGUUAUAGUUUAUCUACCUUGCUUAUUUAUAUACAUUAUUUUUGUUCGUGUUGUGAUUCCAAUGUGUCUAAUAUUUUAUGGAACUGGGGGUCUAAAUUUUUUAACUUCCUUUUUACCUUUGAAUUAAAAUAUUUAUUUAUUUUUGGAUAGAGACAGAAAUUGGGGGUAAGAAUAAGGAAAGAGACACAGAUACCUGCAGCCCAGCUUCACCUCUCAUGAAGCUUUCCCCCUGCACGUGGGAACCAGAGGCUUAAACUAGGUCCGUUUGUAUUGUAACGUGUGUGUAUAACCAGGUCUGCCACAGACUGACACCAUAAAUUUCUUCUCUAUGACUGA